AUGCAGAGCAGGAGCACGUCGGGCCAACUGCCCAGCCAGGCCCAGAUCGGGCCCGCUAAGCUCCCGCCGCCGCGCUGCAGCAGACGCGGCGCAAUAGCCGCCGCCGCCGUCUCCCGUGGCUUGCCAGACCAGCCGAAGGCGGCCCGCCCCAACCCAGAUCGGGGCCGAAGGGGCCCAGAUCUGGGCUUGGAGGGCGCCGCGGCCAAGGCCCGCUGCCAGCCACCACCGCCGCCAAGGGGCCGCGCCGCCGCCACGCAGCCACAUGAUCUGCACCAGAACGCCUCCCGCCGAGGAACACCGCCGGCGGAACUCGCCGCCCGAGCCGGGAACCGCGUCGGGAGAAGGAGGGGGAGCUGCCACCGUCGGCCAAGAACGGCGCUGCACGGGCAAAGGCACUCAUCUUCACCCUCACUCAUGGCCGACGGCGACGGUGACGGUGACGGCGGCGGCGGAGAGGGCGGCGGGAGCGCCGAGUGGCAGCCCAUCUACGACCGGGUCCAGGCGCAGGCCGAGGCUCUCGCCGCCGACCGCGCGCGCCUGGAGGCGGCCAGCAAGGCCCAGCGCGAGUCGUGGGAGGCGGCGCGGAGGCUUCAGCGGAGCGUGGAGGAGCUGCAAGCGGCGGCGCGGGAGAAGGACGCCGAGGUCGGCAGGUUGCGAGCAGAAGCCGCCGACGCUACCAAGAAGCUGCAGGAAGUGCGCCAGGCGGAUGCGGGCAGGAGGAUGAGGUGGGAGGCGGCCUACGUGGAUCUGAUUCUCGGUGCCAACCAGAAGCUCGACGAACUCAGAGAUGUCGACAUGGAGGAUUCCAGAAUUUGUGCAGAAACCCCCAACUCUAAGGCAAGACUCAGUCAGAACACUGUGGAUCAGGCAUCCGUUGCAAGUGAUUUAAGCAUGGAGCUAAGAAAACUAAAGCGAGCGUACGAGACUCUGAGCUCACAGAAGGACAUGGAAGUUUCUACAUUACUCUCAGAAAAGGAACUUGCACGUAACCAGUUGGUUGUAAUGCGAAAAGCCUAUAAUGCGAUUCUUAGGAACAAGAACGGGGAGGCAGCACAAACUUCUGAAGCAGCUCAGAAGCUUCAGCGGAGUGUAGAUGAUCUUAAAGUGUCUGCCCAAAGGAAGGACGAUGAGAUUAGCAGAUUGCGAGCAGAAGCUGUUGCUGCUGAAAAGAAGCUACAGAUAGCUCAAAAGCUUCAGCAGAGUGUGGAUGAUCUUAAGGCGGCAGCCCAAAAGAAGGAUGAUGAGAUUGACAGAUUGCGAGCAGAAGCUGUUGCUGCCGAAAAGAAGCUACGGGAAAUGCAAUCCUUGGUCAAGGAGAAAGAUGAUGAAAUCCAAACUAUUAAUGAUGGGCAAGAUGAAACUAAUCAGAAGCGCAGGCGUGUCUCCUCGACUUCAAAUGAUGAUGAGCAGAGUGAAAGUGUUGAGGAUGAUGAUGUUCAGAGUGGAAGUGAUGAGGAUGGUGACGAGCAGAGUGAAAGUGAUGAGGAUGGUGAUGAGCAGAGUAGAAGCGAUGACAAUUGUGAUGAGCAGAGUAGAAGUGAUGAUGAUGAUUUGCAGAGUAGAAGCAAUAAUCAAGUUCGAAAGCCUCUCUCGAAGCCCAAGAGAAAGAGAGAUGCUUGUAAUGCCCAGGUCGCCAACAGCAAUAAUCAAAGUAAAAUUUGUCAAUCGAUCCCAAGAAGGCACUACCUGACUAGGAUGGCUCCAAAGCCGCUGCGCUCACGGAAGCUGCGUAUUGUCAAUGGCCAGCGUUGUCUGGAGGGUACCGGCCACUGGGGCAAGUACGUCAGGCUUGUGAACGACAGCUUGGCAGACCAACCUGACAAGCACAAGGAGUUUGUCACCUUCUUGCGCUUUUUCAGGAUCUGUAGAAUUCGUUAUUCGGCCAGUGCCACGGAAAAGGCAUUAGAAGGACACCACGAGCUGAUCCGCCAGUUUAACCGUGAAAAUAUCAGUGCCGUGGCCGGGCUCGUGAAGCUGAAGGAGGGCGGCAGCCCAAGGGUUUAG
rnacentral:rRNA from 1 species